AUUGAACGCUGGCGGCAUGCUUUACACAUGCAAGUCGAACGGCAGCACGGGUGCUUGCACCUGGUGGCGAGUGGCGGACGGGUGAGUAAUACAUCGGAACGUGUCCAGAAGAGGGGGAUAACACAUCGAAAGAUGUGCUAAUACCGCAUAUGCUCUGAGGAGGAAAGUGGGGGAGUCGAAAGACCUUACGCUUUUGGAGCGGCCGAUGUCUGAUUAGCUAGUUGGUGGGGUAAGGGCCGUACCAAGGCGACGAUCAGUAGUUGGUCUGAGAGGACGACCAGCCACACUGGGACUGAGACACGGCCCAGACUCCUACGGGAGGCAGCAGUGGGGAAUUUUGGACAAUGGGCGCAAGCCUGAUCCAGCAAUGCCGCGUGAGUGAAGAAGGCCUCGGUUGUAAGACUCUUCUAGUCGAGAAGAAAAGGACGUAGCGGUGAAUAACUAGUAGUUUAUUGACGGUAGUCGACAGAAGAAGACACCGGCUAAC
rnacentral:rRNA from 1 species